rnacentral:rRNA from 1 species
AUUGAACGCUGGCGGCAGGCCUAACACAUGCAAGUCGAACGGUAACAGGAAGAAUCUUGCUUCUUUGCUGACGAGUGGCGGACGGGUGAGUAAUGUCUGGGAAACUGCCUGAUGGAGGGGGAUAACUACUGGAAACGGUAGCUAAUACCGCAUAACGUCGCAAGACCAAAGAGGGGGACCUUCGGGCCUCUUGCCAUCGGAUAUGCCCAGAUGGGAUUAGCUAGUAGGUGGGGUAACGGCUCACCUAGGCGACGAUCCCUAGCUGGUCUGAGAGGAUGACCAGCCACACUGGAACUGAGACACGGUCCAGACUCCUACGGGAGGCAGCAGUGGGGAAUAUUGCACAAGGGGCGAAAGCCUGAUGCAGCCAUGCCGCGUGUAUGAAGAAGGACUUCGGGUUGUAAAGUACUUUCAGCGGGGAGGAAGGGAGUAAAGUUAAUACCUUUGCUCAUUGACGUUACCCGCAGAAGAAGCACCGGCUAACUCCGUG